rnacentral:rRNA from 1 species
AUUGAACGCUGGCGGCAGGCCUAACACAUGCAAGUCGAACGAGUGGCGGACGGGUGAGUAAUGUCUGGGAAACUGCCUGAUGGAGGGGGAUAACUACUGGAAACGGUAGCUACUACCGCAUACCCUCGGAUGUGCCCAGAUGGGAUUAGCUAGUAGGUGGGGUAAAGGCUCACCUAGGCGACGACCCCUAUCUGGUAUGAGAGGAUGACCAGCCACACUGGAACGUGGACAAGGCCCAGACGCCUACGGGAGGCAGCAGUGGGGAAUAGUGCACAAUGGGCGCAAGCCUGAUGCAGCCAUGCCGCGGGUAGGAAGAAGGCCUUCGGGUUGUAAAGUACUUUCAGCGGGGAGGCGUUACCGGCAGAAGAAGCACCGGCUAACUCCGUGCCAGCAGCCGCGGUAAUAC